UGGAUCCUGAGUACGACGGAGCACGUGAAAUUCCGUCGGAAUCUGGGAGGACCAUCUCCUAAGGCUAAAUACUCUCUAGUGACCGAUAGUGAACCAGUACCGUGAGGGAAAGGUGAAAAGUACCCCGGAAGGGGAGUGAAAGAGAACUUGAAACCGUGUGCUUACAAGUAGUCAGAGCCCGUUAAUGGGUGAUGGCGUGCCUUUUGUAGAAUGAACCGGCGAGUUACGAUCUGAUGCAAGGUUAAGCAGAAAAUGUGGAGCCGUAGCGAAAGCGAGUCUGAAUAGGGCGAAUGAGUAUUUGGUCGUAGACCCGAAACCAGGUGAUCUACCCUUGGUCAGGUUGAAGUUCAGGUAACACUGAAUGGAGGACCGAACCGACUUACGUUGAAAAGUGAGCGGAUGAACUGAGGGUAGCGGAGAAAUUCCAAUCGAACUUGGAGAUAGCUGGUUCUCUCCGAAAUAGCUUUAGGGCUAGCCUCAAGUGAUGAUUAUUGGAGGUAGAGCACUGUUUGGACGAGGGGCCCCUCUCGGGUUACCGAAUUCAGACAAACUCCGAAUGCCAAAUAAUUUAACUUGGGAGUCAGAAUGUGGGUGAUAAGGUCCAUAUUCGAAAGGGAAACAGCCCAGACCACCAGCUAAGGUCCCAAAAUAUAUGUUAAGUGGAAAAGGAUGUGGCGUUGCCCAGACAACUAGGAUGUUGGCUUAGAAGCAGCCAUCAUUUAAAGAGUGCGUAAUAGCUCACUAGUCGAGUGACACUGCGCCGAAAAUGUACCGGGGCUAAACAUAUUACCGAAGCUGUGGAUUGUCCUUUGGACAAUGGUAGGAGAGCGUUCUAAGGGCGUUGAAGCAUGAUCGCAAGGACAUGUGGAGCGCUUAGAAGUGAGAAUGCCGGUGUGAGUAGCGAAAGACGGGUGAGAAUCCCGUCCACCGAUUGACUAAGGUUUCCAGAGGAAGGCUCGUCCGCUCUGGGUUAGUCGGGUCCUAAGCUGAGGCCGACAGGCGUAGGCGAUGGAUAACAGGUUGAUAUUCCUGUACCACCAUUAUUCGUUUUAAGCGAUGGGGGGACGCAGUAGGAUAGGCGAAGCGUGCUGUUGGAGUGCACGUCCAAGCAGUGAGAUUGAGUGUUAGGCAAAUCCGGCACUCUUAAGAUUGAGCUGUGAUGGGGAGAGGAACUUGUUCCUCGAGUCGUUGAUUUCACACUGCCGAGAAAAGCCUCUAGCUAGAAUAACGGUGCCCGUACCGCAAACCGACACAGGUAGUCAAGAUGAGAAUUCUAAGGUGAGCGAGCGAACUCUCGUUAAGGAACUCGGCAAAAUGACCCCGUAACUUCGGGAGAAGGGGUGCUCUUUGAGGUUCACGCUUCGAAGAGCCGCAGUGAAUAGGCCCAAGCGACUGUUUAUCAAAAACACAGGUCUCUGCUAAACCGUAAGGUGACGUAUAGGGGCUGACGCCUGCCCGGUGCUGGAAGGUUAAGAGGAGUGGUUAGCGCAAGCGAAGCUACGAAUCGAAGCCCCAGUAAACGGCGGCCGUAACUAUAACGGUCCUAAGGUAGCGAAAUUCCUUGUCGGGUAAGUUCCGACCCGCACGAAAGGCGUAACGAUUUGGGCACUGUCUCAACGAGAGACUCGGUGAAAUCAUAGUACCGGUGAAGAUGCCGGUUACCCGCGACAGGACGGAAAGACCCCGUGGAGCUUUACUGUAGCCUGAUAUUGAAAUUCGGUACAGUUUGUACAGGAUAGGUAGGAGCCUUAGAAGCGUGAGCGCUAGCUUACGUGGAGGCAUUGGUGGGAUACUACCCUAAUUGUAUUGGAUUUCUAACCCGCAGCACUUAUCGUGCUGGGAGACAGUGUCAGGCGGGCAGUUUGACUGGGGCGGUCGCCUCCUAAAGAGUAACGGAGGCGCUCAAAGGUUCCCUCAGAAUGGUUGGAAAUCAUUCAUAGAGUGUAAAGGCAUAAGGGAGCUUGACUGCGAGACCUACAAGUCGAGCAGGGUCGAAAGACGGACUUAGUGAUCCGGUGGUUCCGCAUGGAAGGGCCAUCGCUCAACGGAUAAAAGCUACCCCGGGGAUAACAGGCUUAUCUCCCCCAAGAGUUCACAUCGACGGGGAGGUUUGGCACCUCGAUGUCGGCUCAUCGCAUCCUGGGGCUGUAGUCGGUCCCAAGGGUUGGGCUGUUCGCCCAUUAAAGCGGUACGCGAGCUGGGUUCAGAACGUCGUGAGACAGUUCGGUCCCUAUCCGUCGUGGGCGUAGGAAAUUUGAGAGGAGCUGUCCUUAGUACGAGAGGACCGGGAUGGACAUACCUCUGGUGUACCAGUUGUCGUGCCAACGGCAUAGCUGGGUAGCUAUGUAUGGACGGGAUAAGUGCUGAAAGCAUCUAAGCAUGAAGCCCCCCUCGAGAUGAGAUUUCCCAACUUC
rnacentral:rRNA from 1 species